rnacentral:lncRNA from 1 species
GUGCCACUCUCUCACACAAGCGCCAUCAGUGCCCUCUGGAGACCUACCUUGCUUGUUUGCAUAUUGCUUUUCUCUGUCCCACCCCCCUCUCUAUCUCGACUGAUAUCACUGCUGAGAAAGGAUUUUUGAAUUCGCUGCAGCACACACAGGUCACACCCGCCAUGCUGUGAGCCACAGCGACAAACUUGACAAGCUCCGGCAACCACGGUCAACUAUUUUAACGACCCAGACAAAGAGGAUAUUUUUUUCACCAAAUCUGUGAUGUAAACCAUCUCAUCCUUCACUCCCCUGUUUCAAGCUACUGUGCAGGACAGAGAAGGCCGUUUCAUGAAUCAAUAUUCGCUAGUUGAAGCCAUGACAGACAAAGGAAACUUCACGGUUCCGAAGCUGCUCCCGGAAUCCAACAUGGUGUUCGGAGUUCUAGGUGUGUUCUUGGGUCUACUCCUUGAGGUUUCUACACACGGACCUCACAGCAUUCCCCGGACCUCCUGGAAACACGAAGGUAUGAUAACAUGAUCAGCACAUUCCCUCACAGACACUCACACUGCAGCAGACCUGGGUCAAGUAUUCUCAAAUACUUUAGGACGGUACGCUAGAUUAAGUUUUCCCGGUACAUUAGAACCAAUGGACUCUAGAGAAAUGAUUUACUGGAAAGAUGACGGUAGGUAAUUUUCUUCUAAAAGUCUGAAACAUUCACCCAGGGUUCACUAUUUUAAAAACAUCAGUCUCCAUUGAGUCUCUUCUCAGCCUUUCAUGCUGUGUUUCUUGAAGGGGGGAGGAAGUUGAGUAACAGUUUGUAUGCUGCUGUUGAUCAAAUCGCAUUUUAUUUACCACAUGCUUCAUAAACAACCGGAGUAAACUAACCGUGAAAUGCUUCCUGACGGGUCCUUUUCCAACAGAGCAGAGUUAAAAAUACAAAAUAAAAUGGUGAUACGAGGAAUAACAAUGAGUAAAAAUAACAUGGCUAUAUAUACAGGAAGUACCAGGUAAUAGCAUGGCUAUAUACAGGGAGUACCAGCUAAUACCAUGGCUAUAUACAGGGAGUACCGGGUAAUGACGUGGCUAUAUACAGGGAGUACCGGGUAAUGACGUGGCUAUAUACAGGGAGUACCAGCUAAUACCAUGGCUAUAUACAGGGAGUACCGGGUAAUGACGUG